CGAGCAAGGCCGCGUGAACGAUGAAGUAUUUCGGUAUGUAAAGUUCUUUUAUUGAAGAAGAAAAAAUAGUGGAAAAACUAUCUUGACGAUAUUCAAUGAAUAAGCCCCGGCAAACUAUGUGCCAGCAGCCGCGGUAAUACAUAGGGGGCGAGCGUUAUCCGGAAUUAUUGGGCGUAAAGGGUGCGUAGGCGGUUUGGUAAGUCUAUAGUUUAAUUUCAGUGCUUAACACUGUUCUGCUAUAGAAACUAUCAGACUAGAGUGAGAUAGAGGCAAGUGGAAUUCCAUGUGUAGCGGUAAAAUGCGUAAAUAUAUGGAGGAACACCAGAGGCGUAGGCGGCUUGCUGGGUCUUUACUGACGCUGAGGCACGAAAGCGUGGGGAGCAAACAGGAUUAGAUACCCUGGUAGUCCACGCCGUAAACGAUGAGUACUAAGUGUCGGGGAAACUCGGUACUGAAGUUAACACAUUAAGUACUCCGCCUGAGUAGUACGUACGCAAGUAUGAAACUUAAAGGAAUUGACGGGACUCCGCACAAGCGGUGGAUCAUGUUGUUUAAUUCGAAGAUACACGAAAAACCUUACCAGGUCUUGACAUACUCUGCAAAGCUAUAGCAAUAUAGUGGAGGUUAUCAGGGAUACAGGUGGUGCAUGGUUGUCGUCAGCUCGUGUCGUGAGAUGUUAGGUUAAGUCCUAAAACGAGCGCAACCCUUGUCACUAGUUGCCAGCAUGUUAUGAUGGGCACUUUAACGAGACUGCAA
rnacentral:rRNA from 1 species